rnacentral:tRNA from 1 species
GGAGGCAGGCUCAGGGGUAGGGCAUCUGCCUGGUGUGCACGAGGCCCUGGGUUGCAUUCCCAGCACCA